rnacentral:rRNA from 1 species
UACGGGGGGGGCAAGCGUUGUUCGGAAUUACUGGGCGUAAAGCGCGUGUAGGCGGAAGCGAAAGUCCGGUGUGAAAGCCCCCCGCUCAACGGGGGAAGGUCGCUGGAAACUGCGCUGCUUGAGGGCGGCAGAGGGAAGUGGAAUUGCUGGUGUAGCGGUGAAGUGCGUAGAGAUCAGCAGGAACACCCGUGGCGAAGGCGGCUUCCUGGGCCGCGCCUGACGCUGAGACGCGAAAGCGUGGGGAGCGAACGGG